GACGAACGCUGGCGGCGUGCUUAACACAUGCAAGUCGAACGGAAAGGCCCUGCUUUUGUGGGGUGCUCGAGUGGCGAACGGGUGAGUAACACGUGAGUAACCUGCCCUUGACUUUGGGAUAACUUCAGGAAACUGGGGCUAAUACCGGAUAGGAGCUCCUGCUGCAUGGUGGGGGUUGGAAAGUUUCGGCGGUUGGGGAUGGACUCGCGGCUUAUCAGCUUGUUGGUGGGGUAGUGGCUUACCAAGGCUUUGACGGGUAGCCGGCCUGAGAGGGUGACCGGCCAAAUUGGGACUGGGAGACGGCCCAGACCCCUACGGGAGGCAGCAGGGGGGAAUAUUGCACAAUGGGCGGAAGCCUGAGGCAGAAACGCCGGGGGGGGGAUGACGGCCUUGGGGUUGUAAACCGUUUUCGCCGGUGACGAAGGGUGAGGGACGGUAAUGGGUAAAGAAGCACCGGCUAACUAGGG
rnacentral:rRNA from 1 species